GAUCAGAAUUAAGGUACACAAAGGUAUUUUGGGUGUUUUUGUCCCUGAUCGUUAUGUUAGAACAUAUUUUGGUGCCUCCACAGCCCUGGUAGAAAAGAGUGCCUGUUUUGAAAUAAUAACAGCAGUAAGUGUGUGUGGUGUGUGUGUGUGUGUGUGUGUGUAAAUACACUUAGCGAAGGUGUUUCUGUCAUUUCUCCACUAUGAGAAACCCCAGGUCGUGGGAGAACCAGAUCUACCUUUUUUCAAUCCACAUCUUCUGUUCGUAUAGAAAGCACUUAUGUAAGGAGCGGAAUUUAUAGCGGCUCAUUUCCAUCCGAUGGACCCACGGUUCAGUGCUGCUAGUGCCUCUAUCAGCGCUAUUUAUAUGUUAAUCUCACUUGCUGAGACUGAGGAGCAGUCCGACCCUCGUGCCGCGUGCUGAGGCACGCGCUCGCACAGACGUUACUGGUGGAGGCGGAGCAGUGCGCACUGGAGCAGCCAAUGGUGUGAGCAGACAGAGGAGCUGGUUCCUCUUGCUCUCUAGACACGUCUGCUGCCAUGAGAUGCCUCAGCCAAGGAUUUUGAGCCAAGAUAUGAGUGAAAUGGUUUAACCAGAUGUGUGCCCAUGUCUGCAAAAUAGAAUUUUAAGAUGCUGAAAUUUAAAAGCUUGCCAUCAUCUCCCCUGCCUCCCAGCAGCAAGGGAAGACUGAAAUCACUGAGAAUGGAAUCCAGUCCAUCUUCUGGCUCUCCAAAUGCAGCAACAGCAUUUUAUGGACUGAUCUUCUACAGCUUCCUCUGAGCACUAGAAUUUCCAGGUGCAUGUUUUCAGAGCACAAGCAACCCCAGGAAAGCUGCUUUUCAAAAGGUAUGUCAUCUCUUGUUUAAACCAAAAGAACUGAAAAGU